CACUGGUGCUCAUCUCCUUUGGGAUAGAGUUUAAAAUCCAUGUGGAAACUAUCAUGUUACAUCUCCUCCAUGCCGCAUAAUGUGGGUCAUUUUGUGGAGGUUGAGGAAUGCUUCCAUCGACAAAUCCUUCCUUGUUCUUGACACUCAAGGCCAUAAUCAUCGACCUGCUCCAAGUUGAAUAGUUCUCCUCAUUCAGGAUCAAAGAGGUGA
rnacentral:lncRNA from 1 species